GAAAGGAGGUUGAUGAGAGGGUUGACUAGUGGUGUGCGAUACUGCCAAAUUUGGUAUUGAUCCAAUAUCAAGUAAAUACAGGGCCAGUAUCGCCGAUAUC